GUCGAACGCUGGCGGCGUGCUUAACACAUGCAAGUCGAACGGCAAGGCCCUGCUUUUGUGGUGUGCUCGAGUGGCGAACGGGUGAGUAACACGUGAGUAACCUGCCCUUGACUUUGGGAUAACUUCAGGAAACUGGGGCUAAUACCGGAUAGGAGCUCCUGCUGCAUGGUGGGGGUUGGAAAGUUCCGGCGGUUGGGGAUGGAUUGGUGGCUUAUCAGCUUGUUGGUGGGGUAGUGGCUUACCAAGGCUUUGACGGGUAGCCGGCCUGAGAGGGUGACCGGCGACAUUGGGACUGAGGUACGGCCCAGACGCCUACGGGAGGCAGCAGUGGGGAAUAUUGCACAAUGGGCGGAAGCCUGAUGCAGCAACGCCGCGUGCGGGAUGACGGCCUUCGGGUUGUAAACCGCUUUCGCCUGUGACGAAGCGUGAGUGACGGUAAUGGGUAAAGAAGCACCGGCUAACUACGUG
rnacentral:rRNA from 1 species